AUAACGGACAGAGUGAAGCGGCAAAAGCUCAAAUUUGAAAUCUCGCGCCCCGUCAGGAGCCCGAGUUGUAAUUUGGAGAGGACACUUCGGGUGUGGCUGCGGUGUAAGUCCCUUGGAACAGGGCGUCAUAGAGGGUGAGAAUCCCGUCUUGCGCCGCCAGACCACGCCCAUGCGAAGUUCCUUCGACGAGUCGAGUUGUUUGGGAAUGCAGCUCUAAGUGGGUGGUAAAUUUCAUCUAAAGCUAAAUAUUGGCCAGAGACCGAUAGCGAACAAGUAGAGUGAUCGAAAGGUUAAAAGCACCUUGAAAAGGGAGUUAAAUAGCACGUGAAAUUGUUGAAAGGGAAGCGCUUGCAACCAGACUCGGUCGUGGGGGCUCAGCAGGCAUGCUUGCCUGUGUACUCCCCCGCGUUCGGGCCAGCAUCGGUUCCGGCGGUUGGUCAAAGGCCUCUGGAAUGUGUCGUCCUCCGGGACGUCUUAUAGCCAGGGGUGCAAUGCUGCCAGCCGGGACCGAGGAACGCGCUUCGGCACGGAUGCUGGCAUAAUGGUUGUAAGCGGCCCGUCUUGAAACACGGACCAAGGAGUCUAACAUCCACGCGAGUGUUCGGGUGUCAAACCCGUGCGCGCAGUGAAAGCGAACGGAGGUAGGAGCCCUCACGGGUGCACUAUCGACCGAUCCUGAAGUCUUCGGAUGGAUUUGAGUAAGAGCGUGGCUGUUGGGACCCGAAAGAUGGUGAACUAUGCCUGAAUAGGGUGAAGCCAGAGGAAACUCUGGUGGAGGCUCGCAGCGGUUCUGACGUGCAAAUCGAUCGUCAAA
rnacentral:rRNA from 1 species